rnacentral:rRNA from 1 species
CCUACGGGGGGCUGCAGUGAGGAAUAUUGGUCAAUGGACGAGAGUCUGAACCAGCCAAGUAGCGUGAAGGAUGACUGCCCUAUGGGUUGUAAACUUCUUUUAUAAAGGAAUAAAACGAGGCACGUGUGCCUUUUUGCAUGUACUUUAUGAAUAAGGAUUGGCUAACUCCGUGCCAGCAGCCGCGGUAAUACGGAGGAUCCGAGCGUUAUCCGGAUUUAUUGGGUUUAAAGGGAGCGUAGAUGGGUUGUUAAGUCAGUUGUGAAAGUUUGCGGCUCAACCGUAAAAUUGCAAUUGAUACUGGCAGUCUAGAGUACAGUUGAGGUAGGCGGAAUUCGUGGUGUAGCGGUGAAAUGCUUAGAUAUCACGAAGAACUCCGAUUGCGAAGGCAGCUUACUAAACUGCCACUGACAUUGAUGCUCGAAAGUGUGGGUAUCAAACAGGAUUAGAUACCCUUGUAGUC